GAAGGUCACGGCGAGACGAGCCGUUUAUCAUUACGAUAGGUGUCAAGUGGAAGUGCAGUGAUGUAUGCAGCUGAGGCAUCCUAACAGACCGGUAGACUUGAACCUUGUUCCUACAUGACCCGAUCAAUUCGAUCAGGUACUCGCCAUCUAUUUUUAUUGUUCAACUCUUUGACAACAUGAAAAAAAAACCAAAAGCUCUGCCCUCCCUCUCUAUCGAUCCAAGUGAUGGAAGGGCAG
rnacentral:rRNA from 1 species